rnacentral:rRNA from 1 species
GACGAACGCUGGCGGCGUGCUUAACACAUGCAAGUCGAACGCAGUGGCGAACGGGUGAGUACUACGUGGGUAACCUGCCCUCCUCUUUGGGAUAGGCCUUGGCAACGGGGUCUAAUCCCGAACCUAGGGGGAUGGGCUCGCGGCCUGUCCGCUUGUUGGUGGGGUGAUGGGCUACCAAGGCGGUGACGGGGAGCCGGCCUGAUAGGGCGACCGGGCACAUAGGCACGGAGAUGCGUCCCAGACUACGACGGGGUGCAGCAGUGGGGGAUAUUGCAGAAUGGGCGAAAGCGUGAUGCCGCGACGCCGAGGGGGGGAUGAGGGUUUUCGGGUUGUAAAGCUAGGGCGCAAGCGAAAGGGUAGGUGGAGAAGAAGCGCCGGCUAACUACGUGCCAGCAGCCGCGGUAAUAC